UACGUAGGUGACAAGCGUUGUCCGGAUUUACUGGGCGUAAAGAGCGCGCAGGCGGUCGAUCAAGUCGAGUGUGAAAGCCCCCGGCUCAACUGGGGAGGGUCAUUCGAUACUGAUCGACUCGAAGGCAGGAGAGGGUAGUGGAAUUCCCGGUGUAGUGGUGAAAUGCGUAGAUAUCGGGAGGAACACCAGUGGCGAAGGCGACUACCUGGCCUGUUCUUGACGCUGAGGCGCGAAAGCUAGGGGAGCGAACGGG
rnacentral:rRNA from 1 species